GAUGAACGCUGGCGGCGUGCCUAAUACAUGCCAGUCGAGCGAACGGACGAGAAGCUUGCUUCUCUGAUGUUAGCGGCGGACGGGUGAGUAACACGUGGAUAACCUACCUAUAAGACUGGGAUAACUUCGGGAAACCGGAGCUAAUACCGGAUAAUAUUUUGAACCGCAUGGUUCAAAAGUGAAAGACGGUCUUGCUGUCUCUUAUAGAUGGAUCCGCGCUGCAUUAGCUAGUUGGUAAGGUAACGGCUUACCAAGGCAACGAUGCAUAGCCGACCUGAGAGGGUGAUCGGCCACACUGGAACUGAGACACGGUCCAGACUCCUACGGGAGGCAGCAGUAGGGAAUCUUCCGCAAUGGGCGAAAGCCUGACGGAGCAACGCCGCGUGAGUGAUGAAGGUCUUCGGAUCGUAAAACUCUGUUAUUAGGGAAGAACAUAUGUGUAAGUAACUGUGCACAUCUUGACGGUACCUAAUCAGAAAGCCACGGCUAACUACGUG
rnacentral:rRNA from 1 species